rnacentral:rRNA from 1 species
ACGUAGGGUGCGAGCGUUAAUCGGAAUUACUGGGCGUAAAGCGUGCGCAGGCUGUUUUAUAAGUCAGAUGUGAAAUCCCCGAGCUCAACUUGGGAACUGCGUUUGAUACUGUAAGACUAGAGUGUGUCAGAGGGGGGUAGAAUUCCACGUGUAGCAGUGAAAUGCGUAGAUAUGUGGAGGAAUACCAAUGGCGAAGGCAGCCCCCUGGGAUAACACUGACGCUCAUGCACGAAAGCGUGGGGAGCAAACAGG